rnacentral:lncRNA from 1 species
AAGGAGAAGGAGAAGAAGGAGAAGAAGGAGAAGCAGGAGAAGAAGAAGAAGCAGAAGAAGAAGAAGAAGAAGAAGAAGAAGAAGAAGAAGAAGAAGAACAAGCAGAAGGAGAAGCAGAAGGAGAAGAAGAAGCGGAAGCAUAAGCAGAAGCAGAAGCAGAAGCAGAAGAAGAAUAAUAAUAAUAAUAAUAAUAAUAAUAAUAAUAAUAAUAAUAAUAAUN